GACGUAGGUACCGAGCGUUAUCCGGAUUUACUGGGCGUAAAGCGCGUUCAGGCGGCUGGGCAAGUCGGGCAUGAAAUCUCUCGGCUCAACCGGGAGGGGUUGUCCGAUACUGCGCAGCUUGAGGGCAGUAGAGGGUGGUGGAAUUCCGGGUGUAGUGGUGAAAUGCGUAGAGAUCCGGAGGAACACCAGUGGCGAAGGCGGCCACCUGGACUGCCCCUGACGCUGAAACGCGAAAGCUAGGGGAGCGAACGGG
rnacentral:rRNA from 1 species